UGUUUUUUUUAUUUGAGAUGUGGGGAGUACUUUCGGAGAGACUCGAGAGUCGAGAGACGGAUUUCACAGGAGAUUUAGAGAAUUUGGAGAGAAAGCUGGGGAUCCUGAGCGACAAAUAAGGCGAUAGUGCCGAGUUCAAGAUAUGAUUCAAUGGAUCACAAUGAAUCACUGCGUGACCGAGUUUGAUGUCGACGAACAUUAUUCUAUUCCAACUUCUUCAUCCAUUUAACUUCUGCAGCCUUCAUUGUGCACGCUCUCCUUAUCUAUUAUGCACAGCGUGUUCACUUGUAAAUACCAUGGCGGCAUGUGAUUGGCUUGGGGAACAAUGAUGUGGUGUCUACUAGACACAAAAUACCUUCUCCACUUGAUGACCGCUUUGCAAAGAGAUUUCUUUUAUCAAUAAUAUUAUUUUUUUAAAUUAUGAUUUAAGCCUCAAAAUCAAAUUAUUUACAAAUCUAGCAUCCAAUAACACACCUUAGAUGCCAGCACCAUUUGACGAUGGUCAGGAUUUUCUAGUUUAACCAACAAGUUUAGUCCUCACACAGACCACUUGGUUGAAUGGUGUGUAACGAGUUUCCUUAUAAUUUGGUGUAUGUAACGAGUUUCCUUAUAAUUUGGUGUAUGUUGAUUGGGUUUUAGGGUGUGGAACCCCACACACUGGGUUCACUGUUCACCUAUGUUAACAGUCGAAGUGAUGUUGUAUGAGUAUUAUUACUCCCACGGGAUCAUGGGAUAAUGUGACGUUUCGCUAUUAAUAUAGAUUAUCAAUCCUAAUUAAAUUAUCAAUUUGAAAAACAUUACUCAUGUAAUUAACUCUUUUACUAUUUUAUUAGAUUUACCUGUAGUUAAUACAAUUAAAGCUUAUAUAUCUAAAAACAGACUAAAUUAAUUAUUAAUCAGCUUAGAACGUUCAAAUUUAUAAGUACUUAGUUAAUUAAGGAUAGAAUUGAAAAGUAAAAAAUUAAAUAUCCUUCCACUUGAUAAAUUUUACACAAUUUUAAGACAAAGAAAGUAGAAAUUUGAACCAUCUUUUUAGGAUGAUGGGCUAACUUUUUUAGAGGACUUUGAAAGUUGUUCAGUCCCCCCCCCCCCCCCCCC